UGAGGAAUAUUGGACAAUGGGCGCAAGCCUGGAUCCAGCCAUGCCGCGGUGCAGGAAGACGGCCCUAUGGGUUGUAAACUGCUUUUAUACGGGAAGAAACACUCCGACGUGUCGGAGCUUGACGGUACCGUAAGAAUAAGGAUCGGCUAACUCCGUG
rnacentral:rRNA from 1 species